rnacentral:misc_RNA from 1 species
GAUGAAGAACGUAGCGAAAUGCGAUAAGUAAUGUGAAUUGCAGAAUUCAGUGAAUCAUCGAAUCUUUGAACGCACAUUGCGCCCGCCAGUAUUCUGGCGGGCAUGCCUGUUCGAGCGUCAUUUCAACCCUCAAGCCCCCGGGCUUGGUGUUGGGGAUCGGCGUGCCCUCGCGGCGCGCCGUCCCCUAAAUCUAGUGGCGGUCUCGCUGUAGCUUCCUCUGCGUAGUAGCAACACUCGCACUGGAUCGCAGCGCGGCCACGCCGUUAAACCCCCCACUUCUGAAAGUUUGACCUCGGAUCAGGUAGGAAUACCCGCUGAACUUAAGCAUAUCAAUAAGAGGA